rnacentral:rRNA from 1 species
GACGAACGCUGGCGGCGUGCUUAACACAUGCAAGUCGAACGGAAAGGCCCUGCUUUUGUGGGGUGCUCGAGUGGCGAACGGGUGAGUAACACGUGAGUAACCUGCCCUUGACUUUGGGAUAACUUCAGGAAACUGGGGCUAAUACCGGAUAGGAGCUCCUGCUGCAUGGUGGGGGUUGGAAAGUUUCGGCGGUUGGGGAUGGACUCGCGGCUUAUCAGCUUGUUGGUGGGGUAGUGGCUUACCAAGGCUUUGACGGGUAGCCGGCCUGAGAUGGUGACCGGCCACAUUGGGACUGAGAUACGGCCCAGACUCCUACGGGAGGCAGCAGUGGGGAAUAUUGCACAAUGGGCGGAAGCCUGAUGCAGCAACGCCGCGUGCGGGAUGACGGCCUUCGGGUUGUAAACCGCUUUCGCCUGUGACGAAGCGUGAGUGACGGUAAUGGGUAAAGAAGCACCGGCUAACUACGU